CAUCUUGCUGAAAUGAAUAAAAUAUUUAAUAACUUUUCAUUUAUAAUCAACUAUUGCAAACAACUUAAAUAAUUAAAAAGUAAAUAUUCUUAAUGAGUUAUUUAUUUCUUAUGGUUUAUAUUAUAAUAUUAUUAUUGUGUCCAAUCUGUAACUUUCAUCCUCCAAGGGUAUUUUUUAAUAAAAGCAUUUAAUAUUCCUUUUUCGAUAUUUCCAUGUUCUAAUUCGUCUUUAUUUAUUGUUGCUUAUUGGUUUCCGAUUGCGUCAGUUCGUUUAAAUGUCUAUUUAUGAAAUUGUUUAUUCCCAAUUCAAUUAAACAAUAAUUAUUCUUAAGUACUAUUAAUCGCACACGAUUUAAGUUAUUCUUAUCCGUUUGUUUAUUUUUAUUGCAAAAGAUAUUUAUCGAAAAGACGGCGGCCGCAGUACAUAUUUUAAUAUUCCGUUAAUCUCGUAUAUUACUGU